CACUGUAGGUCUAGCGGUCAGAACACUAGCCUUGUAAGCCUGGGGUCCCGGGUUCAAUUCCCGGUGGUG
rnacentral:tRNA from 1 species